CGAGACUAGUGAAAUACCUAUCCAAUGGAUCACAAAAUCAGAGUAGGUGUGUUCGAAUAGCUAUUUUACUAAAAGUGCUUGACGACAGUCAUUAAGUUGGAUCUUUGAAAAAAAAUUGUCUUCCGUUUUUACGAUUGCGAAAAUGAACUGGCGUAAUAGGAAGAUAAUUUCGACGAAGUAGAAUCCUGUCUGUAUUGUAUAUUUACAGGUAAGGAAACAUGUGAGAAUAUGUGUCAUGUGAUGUUUUAAAAUUUAGUGUCCUUAACCUCCAACAAAACGUCCAAUAAAAUUUAAGUAUAAUGUAUACAAGCUGAAGCCCCGCCUAUCUUAAUUACCAUGCUUGAGCAAACACUGAUACAAACAAAGCAAGCAAGCCAAACAAAGAUUUGUCUUGCUAGCAUUAAUGUAAAAGCUGUAA
rnacentral:lncRNA from 1 species